rnacentral:rRNA from 1 species
GUGCCAGCCGCCGCGGUAAUACGGAGGGUGCGAGCGUUAAUCGGAAUUACUGGGCGUAAAGCGCAUGCAGGUGGUUUGUUAAGUCAGAUGUGAAAGCCCGGGGCUCAACCUCGGAAUUGCAUUUGAAACUGGCAGGCUAGAGUACUGUAGAGGGGGGUAGAAUUUCAGGUGUAGCGGUGAAAUGCGUAGUGAUCUGAAGGAAUACCGGUGGCGAAGGCGGCCCCCUGGACAGAUACUGACGCUCAGAUGCGAAAGCGUGGGGAGCAAACAGGAUUAGAAACCCGCGUAGUCC